rnacentral:rRNA from 2 species
CGAGACGCUGGCGGCGUGCCUAAUACAUGCAAGUCGAACGAAACUUUCUUACACCGAAUGCUUGCAUUCACCGUAAGAAGUUGAGUGGCGGACGGGUGAGUAACACGUGGGUAACCUGCCUAAAAGAAGGGGAUAACACUUGGAAACAGGUGCUAAUACCGUAUAUCUCUAAGGAUCGCAUGAUCCUUAGAUGAAAGAUGGUUCUGCUAUCGCUUUUAGAUGGACCCGCGGCGUAUUAACUAGUUGGUGGGGUAACGGCCUACCAAGGUGAUGAUACGUAGCCGAACUGAGAGGUUGAUCGGCCACAUUGGGACUGAGACACGGCCCAAACUCCUACGGGAGGCAGCAGUAGGGAAUCUUCCACAAUGGACGCAAGUCUGAUGGAGCAACGCCGCGUGAGUGAAGAAGGUCUUCGGAUCGUAAAACUCUGUUGUUAGAGAAGAACACGAGUGAGAGUAACUGUUCAUUCGAUGACGGUAUCUAACCAGCAAGUCACGGCUAACUACGUGCCAGCAGCCGCGGUAAUACGUAGGUGGCAAGCGUUGUCCGGAUUUAUUGGGCGUAAAGGGAACGCAGGCGGUCUUUUAAGUCUGAUGUGAAAGCCUUCGGCUUAACCGGAGUAGUGCAUUGGAAACUGGAAGACUUGAGUGCAGAAGAGGAGAGUGGAACUCCAUGUGUAGCGGUGAAAUGCGUAGAUAUAUGGAAGAACACCAGUGGCGAAAGCGGCUCUCUGGUCUGUAACUGACGCUGAGGUUCGAAAGCGUGGGUAGCAAACAGGAUUAGAUACCCUGGUAGUCCACGCCGUAAACGAUGAAUGCUAGGUGUUGGAGGGUUUCCGCCCUUCAGUGCCGCAGCUAACGCAAUAAGCAUUCCGCCUGGGGAGUACGACCGC